GACGAACGCUGGCGGCGUGCCUAAUACAUGCAAGUAGAACGCUGAAGGAGGAGCUUGCUCUUCUGGAUGAGUUGCGAACGGGUGAGUAACGCGUAGGUAACCUGCCUGGUAGCGGGGGAUAACUAUUGGAAACGAUAGCUAAUACCGCAUAACAGUAGAUGUUGCAUGACAUUUGCUUAAAAGGUGCAAUUGCACCACUACCAGAUGGACCUGCGUUGUAUUAGCUAGUUGGUGGGGUAACGGCUCACCAAGGCGACGAUACAUAGCCGACCUGAGAGGGGGAGCGGCCACACUGGGACUGAGACACGGCCCAGACUCCUACGGGAGGCAGCAGUAGGGAAUCUUCGGCAAUGGACGGAAGUCUGACCGAGCAACGCCGCGUGAGUGAAGAAGGUUUUCGGAUCGUAAAGCUCUGUUGUAAGAGAAGAACGAGUGUGAGAGUGGAAAGUUCACACUGUGACGGUAUCUUACCAGAAAGGGACGGCUAACUACGUG
rnacentral:rRNA from 1 species